rnacentral:rRNA from 1 species
GACGAACGCUGGCGGCGUGCUUAACACAUGCAAGUCGAACGGAAAGGCCCUGCUUUUGUGGGGUGCUCGAGUGGCGAACGGGUGAGUAACACGUGAGUAACCUGCCCUUGACUUUGGGAUAACUUCAGGAAACUGGGGCUAAUACCGGAUAGGAGCUCCUGCUGCAUGGUGGGGGUUGGAAAGUUUCGGCGGUCGGGGAUGGACUCGCGGCUUUUCAGCUUGUUGGUGGGGUAGUGGCUUACCAAGGCUUUGACGGGUAGCCGGCCUGAGAGGGUGACCGGCCACAUUGGGACUGAGAUACGGCCCAGACUCCUACGGGAGGCAGCAGUGGGGAAUAUUGCACAAUGGGCGGAAGCCUGAUGCAGCAACGCCGCGUGCGGGAUGACGGCCUUCGGGUUGUAAACCGCUUUCGCCUGUGACGAAGCGUGAGUGACGGUAAUGGGUAAAGAAGCACCGGCUAACUACGUG